GACGAACGCUGGCGGCGUGCUUAACACAUGCAAGUCGUACGGUAAGGCCCUUUCGGGGGUACACGAGUGGCGAACGGGUGAGUAACACGUGAGUAACCUGCCCACAACUUUGGGAUAACGCUAGGAAACUGGUGCUAAUACUGGAUAUGUGCUCCUGCUGCAUGGUGGGGGUUGGAAAGCUCCGGCGGUUGUGGAUGGACUCGCGGCCUGUCAGCUUGUUGGUGGGGUAGUGGCCUACCAAGGCGGCGACGGGUAGCCGGCCUGAGAGGGUGACCGGCCACAUUGGGACUGAGAUACGGCCCAGACUCCUACGGGAGGCAGCAGUGGGGAAUAUUGCACAAUGGGCGCAAGCCUGAUGCAGCAACGCCGCGUGCGGGAUGACGGCCUUCGGGUUGUAAACCGCUUUCAGCAGGGACGAAGCUUUUUGUGACGGUACCUGCAGAAGAAGCACCGGCUAACUACGUG
rnacentral:rRNA from 1 species